CUGACCGUGCAAAGGUAGCAUAAUCACUUGUUCUCCAAAUAAGGACUUGUAUGAAUGGCCACACGAGGGUUUUACUGUCUCUUACUUCCAAUCCAUGGAAUUUGACCUUCCCGUGAAGAGGCGGGAAUAAAAAAAUAAGACGAGAACACCCUAUGGAGCUUUAAUUAACUAUUCCAAAAGUUAAACAAUUCAACCACAAAGGGAUAAAACAUAACUUAACAUGGACUAGCAAUUUCGGUUGGGGUGACCUCGGAGUACAAAAAAACCUCCGAGUGAUUUUAAUCUAGACAAACCAGUCAAAAUAACCAUAACAUCACUUAUUGAUCCAAAAUUUUGAUCAACGGAACAAGUUACCCUAGGGAUAACAGCGCAAUCCUAUUCUAGAGUUCCUUAUCGACAAUAGGGUUUACGACCCUCGAUGUUUGGAUCAGGACACCCAAAUGGUGCAACCGCUAUUAAAGGUUCGUUUGUUCAACGAUUAAAGUCCUACGUGAUC
rnacentral:rRNA from 1 species